GACGAAGGGGGCUAGCGUUGUUCGGAAUUACUGGGCGUAAAGCGUGCGCAGGCGGUUUUGUAAGCCAGAUGUGAAAUCCCCGGGCUCAACCUGGGAAUGGCAUUUGGGACUGCAAGGCUGGAGUACGGCAGAGGAGACUGGAAUUCCUGGUGUAGCAGUGAAAUGCGUAGAUAUCAGGAGGAAUACCGAUGGCGAAGGCAGGUCUCUGGGCUGAUACUGACGCUCAUGCACGAAAGCGUGGGGAGCAAACAGG
rnacentral:rRNA from 1 species